rnacentral:lncRNA from 1 species
AAGCCAUCCUCUCGCAGGACCCAGAUGCUCUGUUCUUUCUUUGCCACUCAACAAAUCAAUACCAUACCCCUAAGCCCGCCUUUCCCUGGGGAAUGCCGGCUGCCUCUCUGCCCCCACGCAGCUGACCGAGGCUGCACAGCUCUCAGCUCACGUGCUGCUUUCAGAGGAGGAAAUGAAUGCAACGACUCCUGUCCAGCUCAGGAGGGGGAAGUCUUUCCUGAUACUGAAAGAAAAGACUCGCAGCACCAUCUGUCCGCAUCAGAUCCCAUCUGAUCUCUCUCUUUCCCAACUGCCAGGAGCCACAGCUGCCCCUCCAGCCUCGGUUCUCAGCCGCCUCACCACCUCCUCCAGUCUUGCCAGCUCCCCAUUGCCUUUGUCAGCUCCAUUCUCCAAGCUCAGCACUUUAGCCAGCUGCAUGUAAAAUUCCACCCCUUUGAGCCAGGAAAACUCCCUGCUGUCGCUCUCCUAGGUCAUUAGAAAUAAAUAAAUAUAUGCCAUCGCUGACCUAAAUUAGGAUUAUUAUUUUUUUCCUCCUCGUGGCAUGAAGGAAACCCCAUGCAACUGCAUUUUAAGAUGUCUUCUCUCGG